rnacentral:tRNA from 1 species
CGGGAUAUAGCGCAGCUUGGUAGCGUGCCAUCUUGGGGUGAUGGAGGUCGCAGGUUCAAAUCCUGCUAUUCCGA